GACGAACCGUCCAAACGUUAUUCGGAAUCACUGGGCUUAAAGGGCGCGUAGGCGGGCAGGCAAGUCGGAGGUGAAAGCCCACGGCUCAACCGUGGAAGUGCCCCCGAUACUGCCAGUCUUGAGGGAGGUAGGGGCGUGCGGAACUUCCGGUGGAGCGGUGAAAUGCGUAGAUAUCGGAAGGAACACCGGUGGCGAAAGCGGCGCGCUGGACCUCUUCUGACGCUGAGGCGCGAAAGCCAGGGGAGCAAACGGG
rnacentral:rRNA from 1 species